rnacentral:rRNA from 1 species
UACGUAGGGCGCAAGCGUUGUCCGGAAUUAUUGGGCGUAAGGAGCUCGUAGGCGGCUUGUCACGUCGGGUGUGAAAGCCCGGGGCUUAACCCCGGGUCUGCAUUCGAUACGGGCUGGCUAGAGUGUGGUAGGGGAGAUCGGAAUUCCUGGUGUAGCGGUGAAAUGCGCAGAUAUCAGGAGGAACACCGGUGGCGAAGGCGGAUCUCUGGGCCAUUACUGACGCUGAGGAGCGAAAGCGUGGGGAGCGAACAGG